GAUGAACGCUGGCGGCGUGCCUAACACAUGCAAGUCGAGCGAACCCUUCGGGGUGAGCGGCGGACGGGUGAGUAACGCGUGGGUAACCUGCCCUAUACACACGGAUAACGUACCGAAAGGUACGCUAAUACGGGAUAAAGUUGUUGGAUGGCAUCUUCUAGCAAUCAAAGCUCCGGCGGUAUAGGAUGGACCCGCGUCUGAUUAGCUAGUUGGUGAGGUAAUGGCUCACCAAGGCGACGAUCAGUAGCCGACCUGAGAGGGUGAUCGGCCACACUGGAACUGAGACACGGUCCAGACUCCUACGGGAGGCAGCAGUGGGGAAUAUUGCACAAUGGGCGAAAGCCUGAUGCAGCAACGCCGCGUGAGCGAUGAAGGUCUUCGGAUCGUAAAGCUCUGUCCUCAAGGAAGAUAAUGACGGUACUUGAGGAGGAAGCCCCGGCUAACUACGUGCCAGCAGCCGCCGCUG
rnacentral:rRNA from 1 species